rnacentral:rRNA from 1 species
CAGCCGCCACGGUAAUACGAAGGGGGCUAGCGUUGUUCAGAUUUACUGGGCGUAAAGCGCACGUAGGCGGACUUUUAAGUCAGGGGUGAAAUCCCGGGGCUCAACCCCGGAACCGCCUUUGAUACUGGAAGUCUUGAGUAUGGUAGAGGUGAGUGGAAUUCCGAGUGUAGAGGUGAAAUUCGUAGAUAUUCGGAGGAACACCAGUGGCGAAGGCGGCUCACUGGACCAUUACUGACGCUGAGGUGCGAAAGCGUGGGGAGCAAACAGGAUUAGAUACCCCUGUAGUCCCUGUCUCUUACAC